CAGUCGUACCGGCGGGUAAUCAGCCUUUCGGGUGCGAUUCUGUGGAGUUUGAGGAGCUUAACACCUUCAUGCUUUGCAUAUUCGUGCUCUUGGGUGUACUUGCUCGUAUGGUUGGUUAACAUCAAUUUUGGUGGUCAUAAAACGCUGGAGGAAUGUAGCUUCGAUCUCGUAUUGAAGUGUUAUAGCCUUCGGUAAUGUGAUGACUGAGAUUGGAGGUAUUGACAACGGAUACCCGUUCGGGGCCUACC
rnacentral:rRNA from 1 species